rnacentral:rRNA from 1 species
UACGGAGGGGGCUAGCGUUGUUCGGAAUUACUGGGCGUAAAGCGCGUGUAGGUGGCGAGGCAAGUCGGGUGUGAAAGCCCUGGGCUCAACCCAGGAAGUGCACUCGAUACUGCCUAGCUAGAGUCCCGGAGAGGUUGGUGGAACUCUCGGUGUAGAGGUGAAAUUCGUAGAUAUCGAGAAGAACACCGGUGGCGAAGGCGGCCAACUGGACGGUGACUGACACUGAGACGCGAAAGCGUGGGGAGCAAACAGG